GCUCAGGUGGUGGAAUGGCAGACACGCUGGAUUCAGGUUCCAGUGCCCGAAAGGGUGUGGGGGUUCAACUCCCCCCUCGCGCACCA
rnacentral:tRNA from 1 species